GUAUCUAUUACAGCAGCUGUUUGUUGGUUGCAAGAUAGUCUGAGGAGUUUUGAACUCCAUGUAAUGUAGUACAUACUCAGUGAUGCUUAAGGUAGGGCAACCUGCAAGGUGACAAUACAUAUUAAUCCCCUCUGGGCCAUGCUAUGGUGUGAAUUGUUUCCUUAUUAUGGUUCUCCUUAAAAGAAAGAGUUUGUGGUAGUUUAACUCUUAAAGGGAAACUCCAUAUACCCAAAG